CAAUAGCGUAUAUUAAAGUUGUUGCGGUUAAAAGCUCGUAAGUUGGAUUUCUGCUGAGGACGACCGGUCCGCCUCUGGUGAGUAUCUGGUUCGGCCUGGGCAUCUUCUUGGAGAGCGUAGCUGCACUUGACUGUGUGGUGCGGUAUCCAGGACUUUUACUUUUGAGGAAAUUAGAGUGUUUCAAGCAGGCACACGCCUUGAAUACAGUAGCAUGGAAUAAUAAGAUAGGACCUCGGUUCUAUUUUGUUGGUUUCUAGAGUCUGAGGUAAUGAUUAAUAGGAUAGUUGGGGCGAUUAGGUAUUUUAAUUGUUCAGAGGUGGAAAUUCUCGGAUUUGUUAAAGACUAACUUAUGCGAAAGCAUUUGCCAAGGAUGUUUCAUUGAUCAAGAACGAAAGUUAGGGGAGUCGAAGAUGAUCAGAU
rnacentral:rRNA from 1 species